UACGUAGGGACCAAGCGUUUGUCCGGAAUCAUUGGGCGUAAAGCGCGCGUAGGUGGCUUCGUAAGUCCGUUGUGAAAGUCAAAGGCUCAACCUUUGAAAGCCGAUGGAUACUGCUGAGCUAGAGUACGGAAGAGGCGAGUGGAAUUCCUGGUGUAGCGGUGGAAUGCGCAGAUAUCAGGAGGAACACCAAUAGCGAAGGCAGCUCGCUGGGACGUUACUGACACUAAGGCGCGAAAGCGUGGGGAGCGAACAGG
rnacentral:rRNA from 1 species